rnacentral:rRNA from 2 species
UUACACAUGCAGUCGAGGGGUACAGGGUUUUCGGACCGCUGACGACCGGCGCACGGGUGAUAACGCGUAUACAAUCUACCUUUUACAGGGGCAUAGCCCGGGGAAACCCGGAUUAAUAUCCCAUGGUAUCAAGACAUGGCAUCAUGAUUUGAUUAAAGCUUUGGCGGUAAAAGAUGAGUAUGCGUUCUAUUAGCUAGAUGGUAAGGUAACGGCUUACCAUGGCUACGAUAGAUAGGGGUCCUGAGAGGGAGAUCCCCCACACUGGUACUGAGACACGGACCAGACUCCUACGGGAGGCAGCAGUGAGGAAUAUUGGACAAUGGGCGAGAGCCUGAUCCAGCCAUGCCGCGUGCAGGAAGACUGCCCUAUGGGUUGUAAACUGCUUUUAUACGGGAAGAAACACUCCUUCGUGAAGGAGCUUGACGGUACCGUAUGAAUAAGGAUCGGCUAACUCCGUGCCAGCAGCCGCGGUAAUACGGAGGAUCCAAGCGUUAUCCGGAAUCAUUGGGUUUAAAGGGUCCGUAGGCGGGUUAAUAAGUCAGUGGUGAAAGUCUGCAGCUCAACUGUAGAAUUGCCAUUGAUACUGUUAACCUUGAGUAAUUAUGAAAGUGGUUAGAAUAUGUAGUGU